UUUCUUCAUCGGCUGUGCAUGAGCAUACUGGCAGUCGUAACAAUCCUCUUCAAGCUCUUGGCAUAAUUUACCUAAAUCUGGAGAGGUCGUGGGGACUUUUUUGAGCGUCAGCCUGGAAAAUGUCCAACUAUAUUCCAAAAGGUUUAGUAAUUAUAUAAAUGUUCGAGUUUGGAUGAAAAUUGGUCUAAUUGUUAUGACAGCGAGACAGACAGAAACAGCGACUGGUGCCAACGUUGCCUCCACAACUGGCGCGGGUGUACGAGGUAAGGGGUUGACAGCUACUGGCAAGAAAAAUAGACGCGCUCUCUUCGCUCUAGCGCUGCACUGGCACGAAAAAGCAUUUACAUUCAUUGUCCGGACUGUCACGCUAUUAAAACAGACAUUGAAAAAUUCAUAUCUCUUAAACCGUUCAAGGCAAGUAAGUGCUCUUUUUUACAAUCGAAUCUAAAGUACUCCCUCCAUCCUACUGCUCACCCAUAGCGUCGGACCACAAUACCUAUUCGCUCAGAGCGUAGGUGCCCCAGGUGCUACUGUUCACCCAUAGGGUAGGAUCGCCCGUAUUCGUGUUACAGCUGUAAGUACGCAUCAAAUCUUAAGUGCAAUGAAAUCAUAAUAAAAUGGCAUAUUUAAAAAAAAUAGACAAUGGUAUGGUAUGUUUCUGUUUAAGAAAAACGAAGAUGGCGCCAAUUUUUGAAAAUAUUUUAUUUCAGUUCGCAAAAGUGGAUUAUGGUCGUGAACUAAAUUUCAAGUUUCUAUUUCAACUGCUAAUUUAAAAACUUCUAACGAAUGGGCAACAUGAAUUAAAUGUUCGUGCCCAUCAACCACUCUGAUGUGGUGUUUUAGCAAGUAAAACCUUAUUUUCAAUGCAUUUGGUUCUAGUGGUGUACUAACCUAUUUUGGUAUGGGGGUUGGAUAAAUAUGCGCCUUUUCUUGAUGGUGCCGUAGUGAAAAAUCUGACGAAAGGAAUUGGUUUCUAUCCAAUCAGAGGAGGGUACUCACACAGGGAGAAUAGAAGGUUUGGAUGACACGUAGGUCCUGGAAUCAAAACUUCAAUUGCAAAUAUUUCGAUAUGGAUUUUUCAUCUAAGCAUAGAGAAGUAGCUUUACCAAUAAGAAAGUACUGUGCGCUGCACAUAUAAGAAUACAAUUAUUAUCAAAAGAAUUGAAUAUCGAAAAGGUAUCAUAACUUUGCCCAGGGUUAAGAGGACUUGAUCCACACAUGUACACCAUUUGUGCAAACACAUUAUAUCAACAAAAAUUCGCAACGUGGGCUGCUCACACACAGUCUCUGAAAGGAAAUAUGCAGAAAUGAAAUGGAAUUGGGCACAAGUGAAUGCAAUAAAAAAUUAUUUUCUUCGAUUAUUGUGAAGGGACCAAACGGUACUCACUUGAAGAUCUACUGGAAGCAAUUGAUAUUGAAAA